CCUACGGGAGGCAGCAGUGAGGAAUAUUGGUCAAUGGACGCAAGUCUGAACCAGCCAGGCCGCGUGCAGGAAGACGGCGCUAUGAGUUGUAAACGGCUUUUGUACGAGGGUAAACGCAGAUACGCGUAUCUGUCUGAAAGUAUCGUACGAAUAAGGAUCGGCUAACUCCGUGCCAGCAGCCGCGGUAAUACGGAGGAUUCAAGCGUUAUCCGGAUUUAUUGGGUUGAAAGGGUGCGUAGGCGGUCGGAUAAGUUAGAGGUGAAAUCCCGGGGCUCAACUUCGGAAUUGCCUCUGAUACUGUUCGGCUAGAGAGUAGUUGCGGUAGGCGGAAUGUCUGGUGUAGCUGUGAAAUGCUUAGAGAUCAUACAGAACACCGAUUGCGAAGGCAGCUUACCAAGCUACUUCUGACGUUGAGGCACGAAAGCGUGGGGAGCAAACAGGAUUAGAUCCCCCAGUAGUC
rnacentral:rRNA from 1 species